rnacentral:RNase_P_RNA from 1 species
GAAGUCGGCCGGACAGUCGCUGCCGCUGCUUGCAGCGGGGGAGGAAAGUCCGGGCUCCAAAGGGCAGGGUGCCAGGUAACGCCUGGGGGGCGCAAGCCUACGGAAAGUGCCGCAGAAAAUAUACCGCCGAUGGCCUUUCGAGGCACAGGUAAGGGUGAAAAGGUGCGGUAAGAGCGCACCGCGCGGGUGGCAACACACCGUGGCAGGGUAAACCCCACCUGGAGCAAGACCAAAUAGGAACCCUAAAGGCGUGGCCCGCGUUGGGUUCGGGUAGGUUGCUUGAGCGCUGGAGUGAUCCAGCGCCUAGAGGAAUGGCUGUCCUCGACAGAACCCGGCUUAUAGGCCGACUUCCCAC